AUGCCGUCCAAGGGAUUGGCCAGGGAGUUCAGCUCUAGGAUCGAGGAGGAUCGUCUGCCUGGCGCUGGUGGGGUGCUGCCGGUGCAGGAUAUGACACAGGAGGAGGGCCUGAGUGCUGCUGUGGUGGUGGGCCAGGAGAGGCCGGUGCCAGAGGGUCCCAGCGCAGCUGCGCAGGUGGCCUUGGUCGAAUCGCAGGUCCCACAUGAUUCUCUACGGCAGGUGGGCGCGGUGGCUGGGGCCUGGCUGGAGGGUGACAAGUCCUGUUCGCCGCAUGGAAUCCUGGGCGGGGAACCAUCGCAGGAGAAUCUGUCGAAUGGCUGGGCACCAGUGCCGGAGCUGAUUGUCGCCAACCCAGAGAGGCUGGGGAUCGGUGCGGACGGGACAGCUGCCUUGUCGGAGCCGGGCCAUGUGGAGCCGACCCAGGGGGAUUUGAUGGAGGUAACCAAGACAGGUGCACAUGCACUGGUGAAGGAUGGCACGGAGGGAGAUGUGACUACGUCCGAUGCCCACGCAGACAAAUCGGGGCAGGACGGCGUGAUGGUUGUGCAUGGCCAGCCUAUCGGCAUGCAGAGCGAGGGUUCGAACCUGACAGACAAGGAGGCGACUGCACUGGGCAACAUAAAAUCAUUCUGUGCGGGUUUGCUCAAGAAACUGGCACCACCAUUGCUGAGGGAAAUCGAAGGGAUCCGUGGGGUGCGUGCGGGACAAGACCCGUUCACCCCAGGGCGUAACACACGCUCGUCCGGGGCCAUUGGCCAAAACAAGAAGAGCAAAGCGACGGCAGCCGAAACGGUUCUUCUCAAGGCGUUGGGGAUCUCAUGCGAGGAUCUGGCAGUCAUGGAGGACGCGCUAGGUCAACUAAGGGAGAUGUUCGACUCCCCAGUCCAGGAGCAGCAUUUGAGGGCGAUAGCAGCGAUUUUUGGCAAGGUUGUUCCUACAAACCUGGCCAGCGAGAUGGAGCAGUGUGCAUGGGUAGCCAUCUAG
rnacentral:rRNA from 1 species